GGUCGGCAGAGCGGGGAUCCAUUUGCAAGCUUUAUUAAGAACAGUAUUUACACAGGUAGACAGGGGCAAAGGCAGGAACAUAAACAAGGACAGGCAAUGGUCGAGGCAGGCGGCAGACAAACAGAAUCAGGGUACAGGCAAGGAUCAGGGCAGGCAGCAAACAAUCACAGUCCAGGAAACAGGCAAAGAUCAGGGCAGGCAGCAGAGAAUCACAAAGAAUAAACAAUCCAACCGGAAACCAGGAAACAGUCCACAAGAAAACGCUCAGUAAUGAUCACAACAGCAAAUCAAGACUUCGCAAUGAGGUGGUGUGUGUGUGAGUCCUUUAUAGUCCAGGUAGUGUGCUAAGCUGUAUGUGGCAACUGGUGAUUGGUGUGGAGUGUGCAUGUGAUUAGCAAGGAGGAUUAUGGGAAAUGGAGUCCAGGAACUGACAGGAACAGACAGUGAUCGUGACAUAACGCCCCCCUUCCGGAAGGCGCGUCCUCGCGGCGUAAAUGGCACAGAUAGGGAGGGGGGGUGGGUACAUUGGAGACCUGUUGGCAGACGGGAACGGGGUCUCCAAUGCAGGUCCAGGAACUCGGGCGGCCACGGCGGGUCAGGUGCCACGGGCGGCCACGGCGGGUCAGGUGCCACGGGCGGCCACGGCGGGUCAGGUGCCACGGGCGGCCACGGCGGGUCAGGUGCCACGGGCGGCCACGGCGGGUCAGGUGCCACGGGCGGCCACGGCGGGUCAGGUGCCACGGGCGGCCACGGCGGGUCAGGUGCCACGGGCGGCCACGGCGGGUCAGGGUCCGUAGCUGGCCACAGCAGUUCACAGGCGGUUGAAGGCCGUGGGCGUGUAAGGUCCCCACCCGCAAGCUCAACACUGGCAAAACAUCAGCACUGGCAAAGCGGCCAUCUUGUCCAUAGCAUCCAGAGAGCUUGAGGGUGUCGCAACCGGCGAGCUUGAGGGCGUCGCAACCGGCGAGCUUGAGGGCGUCGCAACCGGCGAGCUUGAGGGCGUAGCGGCCAGCGGGCUUGAGUGCGAAGCGGCCGGCGGAGGCUUAGGAAUGCCAGUCGCUCGUGCUGAAGUCAGCGGUGGAUCAGCCACACUGGAACGCAACCCACACCGCUCCCAAACAGAUCCAGAGACGUGAUGUAGAUCUAGAAGAUCAGUGGAGAUGGGACGUGACUCGGGAAGUUUAACUUGGUCUUGACUUGGCAUUGUAGUAGUGGUGGCCGCCAUUUUGUGAGUGUCAUCUGGCGCGGCAGCCAUUACACGACCAGACGAGGUGUCGCAUUCCUCAGCGACACCCACAGUAAAGGGAGAGCCCACAUUCAAUAAAGCAUAAUCCAGAAACUGACUUAGAGAUGAACGGGGUCCCUCACGAAUGAGUUGUUUUUUAAGUGGCUGGUUAACACCCUCACAGAAAAAGUCUAUCAGUACACAGUCUGGCAGAUCUGAACCAUAUGCAACAUCCAAAUAUUCUCUGAUGUAUUCCUCCAACGACCGGGUGCCCUGCUUGAGCCAUAAUAAUAAUUGUGCAAUGUUCAUACCGGGCCAGUGUUCUCCAGGAGAGCCGCUGGAUCCAUGUGUCGGCGAAGUCUUCUGUAAUGAUGGGUCGGCAGAGCGGGGAUCCAUUUGCAAGCUUUAUUAAGAACAGUAUUUACACAGGUAGACAGGGGCAAAGGCAGGAACAUAAACAAGGACAGGCAAUGGUCGAGGCAGGCGGCAGACAAACAGAAUCAGGGUACAGGCAAGGAUCAGGGCAGGCAGCAAACAAUCACAGUCCAGGAAACAGGCAAAGAUCAGGGCAGGCAGCAGAGAAUCACAAAGAAUAAACAAUCCAACCAGAAACCAGGAAACAGUCCACAAGAAAACGCUCAGUAAUGAUCACAACAGCAAAUCAAGACUUCGCAAUGAGGUGGUGUGUGUGUGAGUCUUUUAUA